rnacentral:rRNA from 1 species
UAUGUGAUCGUCUCUCGCAUAUCAAUAAGCGGAGGAAAAGAAACUAACAAGGAUUCCCCUAGUAACGGCGAGUGAAGCGGGAAGAGCUCAAAUUUGAAAUCUUAAAGGGUUUCCCUUUACGAAUUGUAGUUUAAAGAAGUGUUUUCUGUUGAGGUUUUGGUAAAAGUUCUUUGGAAUAGGACAUCAUAGAGGGUGAGAAUCCCGUAUUUGACCUUUACUUUCAACUUUGUGAUACACUUUCAAAGAGUCGGAUUGUUUGAGAAUGCAGUCCAAAAUGGGUGGUAAAUUUCAUCUAAAGCUAAAUAUUGGCGAGAGACCGAUAGCGAACAAGUACCGUGAGGGAAAGAUGAAAAGAACUUUGAAAAGAGAGUUAAACAGUACGUGAAAUUGUCAAAAGGGAAGCGUUUGACACCAGUGUUGUUUUUCUGAAAAUCAAUUAAAGAACUGUUUAUGCUAAGCUGUUUAGACUUUUAUCAGCUAUCUGUUUAGUUUUGAGCUUUUCUUUAAUGCACUUUUCAGUUAACAAGUCAACAUCAAUUUCUUUUGCUGUAAAAAAGCUUGAGGAAGGUGGCUUGAGAUUCAUCUUAAGUGUUUAUAGCCUCUUGCCUAUGCAGUCGGAGAGAUUGAGGUCUGCAGCGUAGAUCCUUCGGGGCUAAAUGCAUUUGUGCUAAGUUAUAACAUUUUAUAGACAACUUGUUGACUAUGAUUUGUCUUGUAGCUUACUCGCUUAUGUUAUUUUACCUACGCUUAGGAUGUUGAAGAUAUGCGCGACACG